GAUCAUGGCUCAGGACGAACGCUGGCGGCGUGCUUAACACAUGCAAGUCGAACGAGAAUCUACGGAUCGAGGAUUCGUCCAAGUGAAGUAGAGGACAGUGGCGGACGGGUGAGUAACGCGUGAGGAACCUGCCUUUCAGAUGGGGACAACAGUUGGAAACGACUGCUAAUACCGCAUGACACAUUGGGGUCGCAUGGCUCUGAUGUCAAAGAUUUAUCGCUGAAAG
rnacentral:rRNA from 1 species